AGUAAAUGCACCAGAAUGCUGUGAGUGUUUGGCUGCUACUGCUGGCUGAACCAGGGGAGCCAGGGAGAAACGCUGGAAGAAGAAAAAAGUAUCUGAUCAUCUUCAUAUCCUUGAAGACAAACAAACAACAAACAAGCUUGAGGGAGGACAUGGAGGUACUGGGUUGGAGAUGGAACACCAAUCUCAGAGGGGAAGAUCUAAUGCCAGAUGCUCUUCCCACCUCUCUGUUGGUCCCGUGGCUGUUGCUUUUGAAGGGAAUUCCUGACUUGGAAAACUCUCAAGGAAAAGUACUGCAUAACGGGCAGAAGGGAAUAAGGUUCUUCAAUUGUCCCUCAUGUCUCUGAUCUAGUGGAAAAUGCCAAUCAUCCAUUGGGCAGAUUGCAAUAAUUUUCUUUAUGUUGUUUGCAACUGGAGAAGUCCCAGAAGAGGAUGGACAAAAAAACAUUGCUUUAUUUCCCCAUCCAGGGUGCCAGGUAUGCCAGAGUCAUCUCAAACCAGAACACUUCACAUUUAGUUCAAGGGUUUUAAUGUGCAAUAUUUCUUAUGGAGACAAAUUAUAUCAUCUUUCCAAAGGCAGAGUUUGGAUUGCUACAGGGAGCUCCGAGGACCAUAAUUCUUGUGUAAGAUUGCAUGCACAAGAAUGCCACAUCAAAGCCUUUUAACUGAAGCUUGGCCUUCUAAC